AUUGAACGCUGGCGGCAGGCCUAACACAUGCAAGUCGAGCGAGCGGCGGACGGGUUAGUAAUGUAUGGGGAUCUGCCCGAUAGAGGGGGAUCACUACUGGAAACGGUGGCUAAUACCGCAUACUAUCGGAUGAACCCCUAUGGGAUUAGGUAGUAGGUGGGGUAAAGGCUCACCAAGGCGACGAUCUCUAGCUGGUCUGAGAGGAUGACCAGCCACACUGGGACUGAGACACGGCCCAGACUCCUACGGGAGGCAGCAGUGGGGAAUAUUGCACAAUGGGCGCAAGCCUGAUGCAGCCAUGCCGCGUGUAUGAAGAAGGCCUUAGGGUUGUAAAGUACUUUCAGUGGGGAGGCGUUACCCGCAGAAGAAGCACCGGCUAACUCCGUGCCAGCAGCCGCGGUAAUAC
rnacentral:rRNA from 1 species